CAGGCAGAGGACUUCUUGGUGUGACUUCCUGCGUGUUGCAACCCGAGCAGCCUGUCCCGCCUCUGACCUCUGCUGUGUGGACUCCAGCCUCAUUCCCGGGUACCCGGUAACCGAAGAUAGAAAACAGGCCUAAAAAUAAAUCCCAGAAGGAAGACGAGAUUUGCCUACAUUUGUCUCUGAACUCUGGCAUCAUAAACCUUCACAAGGUGACUCAGAGGAGGCUGAUCACUGUGAACCCCCGAGGAGAAGGAAUCUCUGCCCCGCCCCCCCCCGCGCCGGCACACCGCACCUCUUGAGGAAAACCAUCGUUGACGUUCUUGGGAAAGAGGUGAACAGGCAGGUCCCAGCAGACACUUGGCAGUUCCUAUGA
rnacentral:lncRNA from 1 species